GACGAACGCUGGCGGCGUGCUUAACACAUGCAAGUCGAACGGAAAGGCCCUGCUUUUGUGGCGUUCUCGAGUGGCGAACGGGUGAGUAACACGUGAGUAACCUGCCCUUGACUUUGUGAUAACUUCAGGAAACUGGGGCUAAUACCGGAUAGGAGCUCCUGCUGCAUGGUGGGGGUUGGAAAGUUUCGGCGGUUGGGGAUGGACUCGCGGCUUAUCAGCUGGUUUGUGAGGUAGUGGCUUACCAAGGCUUUGACGGGUAGCCGGCCUGAGAGGGUGACCGGGCACAUUAGGCCUGAGAUACGGCCCAGAAUCCAACGGGCGGCAGCGGUGGGGAAUAUUGCACAAUGGGCGGAAGCCUGAUGCAGAAACGCCGCGUGCGGGAUAACGGCCUUCUGGGUGUAAACCGCUUUGGCCUGUGACGAGGCGGGAGUGACGGUAAUGAGUAAAGAAGCACCGGCUAACUACGUG
rnacentral:rRNA from 1 species